rnacentral:rRNA from 1 species
CGCGUAGGCGGCACUGUUAGUCAGGCGUGAAAGUCCUGGGCUCAACCUGGGAACUGCGCUUGAUACGGCAGAGCUAGAGGAUGGAAGAGGGUCGCGGAAUUCCCAGUGUAGAGGUGAAAUUCGUAGAUAUUGGGAAGAACACCGGUGGCGAAGGCGGCGACCUGGUCCAUUACUGACGCUGAGGCGCGACAGCGUGGGGAGCAAACAGGAUUAGAUACCCUGGUAGUCCACGCCGUAAACGAUGUGCGCUGGAUGUUGGGUGGCCUAGCCACUCAGUGUCGUAGCUAACGCGGUAAGCGCACCGCCUGGGGAGUACGGCCGCAAGGUUGAA